ACGGAUGAUGGUGACUACAACAUCAAGCUGCGCAAUAUCCGCCGUUUUCUGGCGGAUGGCGACAAGUGCAAGAUCACGCUGCGUUUCCGCGGUCGUGAAAUCACGCACCAGCAGCUGGGUCUGAAUCUGCUCAACCGUCUGCGUGACGAUCUGGCCGAUUCCAUCCAGGUGGAGCAGUUCCCCAAGCUGGAAGGCCGUCAGAUGAUCAUGAUGGUUGCGCCGGCUCGUGCAGGCGGCAAGAAGCCUGCUGGUGGUGCAAAACCACAAGGUGAUGGCGUCGCUGCUGCACCUGAGGCUGCAGAUAAGGCAUAAUUGCGGU
rnacentral:misc_RNA from 1 species